ACUGAGCGGCGGACGGGUGAGUAACGCGUGGGUAACCUGCCUCAUACAGGGGGAUAACAGUUGGAAACGGCUGCUAAUACCGCAUAAGCGCACAGUACCGCAUGGUACGGUGUGAAAAACUCCGGUGGUAUGAGAUGGACCCGCGUCCGAUUAGGUAGUUGGUGGGGUAACGGCCUACCAAGCCGACGAUCAGUAGCCGACCUGAGAGGGUGACCGGCCACAUUGGGACUGAGACACGGCCCAA
rnacentral:rRNA from 1 species